GUUUGUUCGUCUACCCUGUAGAUAGAGCUGUGUGUUUGGAAUAUACCGUACACAAGCUAGACUACAAGGUGAACGACUUAUGAG
rfam:Caenorhabditis brenneri strain PB2801 C_brenneri-6.0.1_Cont239.4, whole genome shotgun sequence.